CUCAGGGAGGAGGGGCCUGUCCAGGGACCUAGAGUGUCAGGCACACGCCCUCUCCGCCCAAGCCCCUCAGAACUCUGUCAGCCCAUCUUGCCUUCUUUCUGUCUUGGCCCUGCUCUAGUUCUAUUUCUGUCACACACACACACAAACCCCCGCCCCAGCCGGCUUCCUGGGCUCUUCGAUGGCUCCACCCUCCCACCCCUCCCUCCUCUGCCCUUAAGUCCCUGACUCUCAGGGGAUGCUGAGUCUGGACUGCUCUGCAGUGGACUGCUAGCUGGGGCUCUGCCGCAGGCUCUCAGUGGCAGAGCCUUGGAGCACCAUGGCUUCCGCUAAGGACAUCGACGAUUUCAUCAAUUCCCUCAAAGCCAAAUUGUUUCAAUUCGUGGAAUUGUUUUGUACAAACCUUCAAAAGAAGUCUGAAGAAGAGGUCUGCUCAGAUCUUAUUUUAAUGGAGAGCAUAUGCAGUGCAGAUAUGGCUGACGCCGUGGAUGCUCAAGUUAACAACUCGGAAUCCUGUCCAUUGCUUCGUGAAACACUGCAGGAGUUGCGUCGCAGAGUCUGUGAGCCCUCUGGCUCCUACAGUCCCCCAGGCCAGAACCAGCCCUUUGACUCCUCCACUUCAAGGAAUUGGUAUGACUGGAUACUUGAGCUAUUUAAAGAGCUCCUGCAGCGACUGCAGCAGAAGUUUCAGAAAGCCCUGGAGUGGCUUCAUCAGAUAGCGGCUGCCUGCCUACAGGGCUUGCGCAUAGCGGCUGAGGCCGUCUGGAGAGUGUUGAAUGAUUUUUGCUCCUCUCUGGAGCAGCUCUUCAGGAGCCUUAUCCAGGUCUAGAAGCCCCAAGGGGUCCCCAGGGAGCUUGGCCUCAUCUAGACGCCUCAAUUUCCCCUUCUCACAGGGCAUCUUCUGAUGCACCCUUUACCCUCCUGCUCACCCUUGACCCAUCCUCAUAGCCUGCCUCACCCCCUCCCCUUCAGGGAGGGCACCACCCAGCCCAUCUAACUCUCCCUGCCUGAAUUUUCCUGCACCAGGUCUGACCUGCCUGUCACUGUAGUGCUGAUGUCCUAAUAAAAGUCAGUUGACCCAAAUGGAGUGUCUGUGU
rnacentral:lncRNA from 1 species